rnacentral:pre_miRNA from 1 species
AGGGGCCGCGAUGGGAGGGGGUUGUUCGACGUGACCCCGCCCCGCCCGGCCCCGCC